rnacentral:tRNA from 4 species
CGGAGUGUCGUAUACCGGUAGUACGUAUGGUUUGGGACCAUAUUGACUGGGUUCGAUUCCCAGCACUCCGACCA